rnacentral:rRNA from 1 species
UACAGAGGGUGCAAGCGUUGUUCGGAAUUAUUGGGCGUAAAGGGAGUGUAGGCGGUUUGCUAAGUCUUCUGUGAAAUCUACGGGCUCAGCCUGUAACGUGCAGAGGAAACUGACAGACUUGAGUGUCGGAGAGGAUAGUGGAAUUCCCGGUGUAGAGGUGAAAUUCGUAGAUAUUCGGAAGAACACCAGUGGCGAAGGCGACUUACAGGACACAUAUUGACGCUGAGGUGCGAAAGCGUGGGGAGCAAACAGG